ACACAGCAGGAUAAAGCAACUUAUUGAUUUCUUAUUAAAAUUAUUCUCAUAUGGAAGAGAUUUCUGAACAGCCCAGGACGGUUGAGCUAAAUGAUGGCAACUUGAUGCCACUGCUGGGCCUGGGGACAUGGAAGGGAAAGAACACAAGUUCAGAACUGUGUCAAGGUGCAGCCGAGACGGCGAUAGCUGCUGGUUACCGUCACUUGGACACGGCUUACAUCUAUCAGAAUGAGGUGGAGCUGGGGAAGGCGAUCCAUUCCAAAAUGCAGCAGGGCAUCAUAAGGCGCCAGGACAUGUUCAUCGUGAGUAAGCUAUGGGGCACUUAUCAUGCCCCUAAGGACAUCCCUCUGUGUCUGGAUAAAUCUCUCAGUGACCUGCAACUCGAGUACCUGGACCUGUAUCUGGUGCACUUUCCUGUGGGACUACAGAAAGUUGAUAACGAGCUCUUUCCAAUGAAGGAUGGAAAGAUACUCACAUCAGAUAUUGAUUAUGUGGAUGUGUGGAAGGGAAUGGAAGCACUGAAGACCUCUGGAAAAGUAAAAAGUAUUGGCGUGUCCAACUUCUCAAUCCAACAGCUGGAAAGGCUGCUGUCUGUGGCUAAAAUCCCACCAGCUGUCAAUCAGGUAGAGCUUCAUCCAUACUUUGUACAGGCUGAUCUGAUUGAAUAUUGUAAAUCGAAAAACAUCGCUCUCACAGCCUACAGUCCCUUUGGGUCACCAGGAAGGACCAAAGAGUAUCACAGAGGGGACAAAGAUCCUGAAAAGCUGCUGGAGGACCCUAUGGUUGGGGAAAUCGCUGCAAAACACAAACGGACAUCAGCACAGAUUUUGUUGAGGUAUCACAUUGAACAGAAUAUUGCAGUGAUUCCAAAGAGUGUUAAAUCCAACCAUAUUCUGGAGAACACAAAGGGGUUGGGCUUGACCCCAGGCAAUGAUCUUGGAGGAGAAGGUCUGGCUCUGCUCUAAUUCAUCCCAAAGAUGUUCUAUCGAAUUGAAGGGGUCAUCACCAAACUGCUCACACAAAGUUGGGAGCAUGAACUUCUCCAAAAUGUCUUGGUAUGCUGAAGCAUUAAGAGUUCUUUUCACUGGAACCAAGCCAAACACCUGAAUUGAAUGAUUUGGAGGGGUGUUCCAAAACUUUUGGCAAUAUAGUGUAUCUUGUUGGAAGGCAGUAAUUAAAUUCAAGAAGCAGUGGAAAUGGUUUAUUUUCAUGAAACAGUUGAUGAAUUAAAAAAAAAAAAAACCCUGAUUCAUUACCUCCAUUCUUUAAGCCAUUAGUUUAAUAUGUGAGAUUUAAGGACCUGGUAUAUAAUUUUAAAAACGUUUCAUUUUACUUUCACUUUCUUCGCUGAAGUGGAAGUCAGUUCCUGACUGAGCAAAUCAAACUGUUUAUUUAUUUUACAAGCAUUAAAUCUCCUUCAUUUGUCUGGAAACAGUUUGUGGGAAGAGACUGAGAAAUCUGGGACCCAGUUUUAAAAUUCUGUAUUAGUAUACAAAACCUGGAACUUAACCGUCUUAAACUUUAGCUUUAUUUUUACACGAAUGACCUGCAGGCAUGUCUAGCUAGGGAGUAUUUUUAAAAUAAGAGCCAUUUACAUAACGUCUACAACAAUGUCGACGAUGUAUAAUCACAGAUCUUUGAUUUCUGCCUGGACUUGGAGGAUAUGAGUGCACUCAGGUCUCUGAAUCGUGGCUGGAAAGCCUGCAUCCUUGAAGAGUUGGAAUCUCAUCCUUAUUACCCUUUCAAGUGAAAUGUAGUUAAUGCUGUAUGCGCGAGACGCUCACUGUGUCUCACUGAGUGCUGCUGAUCAGAACAAGAUUUUUUGCUCAACAAACUGCGUCAAAAUUUUCACUCAAGCGUGUUAGUGCCAAACUGUGACUGUAACCCCCACUGUGCUAAACUGAGCCUUAGAGAGAAUGAAUAAACAUCUUUUCUAAUCAA